GAUGAACGCUGGCGGCGUGCCUAAUACAUGCAAGUCGAGCGAAUGGAUUAAGAGCUUGCUCUUAUGAAGUUAGCGGCGGACGGGUGAGUAACACGUGGGUAACCUGCCCAUAAGACUGGGAUAACUCCGGGAAACCGGGGCUAAUACCGGAUAACAUUUUGAACCGCAUGGUUCGAAAUUGAAAGGCGGUUUCGGCUUUAACUUAUGGAUGGACCCCGGUCGCAUUAGCUAGUUGGUGAGGUAACGGCUCACCAAGGCAACGAUGCGUAGCCGACCUGAGAGGGUGAUCGGCCACACUGGGACUGAGACACGGCCCAGACUCCUACGGGAGGCAGCAGUAGGGAAUCUUCCGCAAUGGACGAAAGUCUGACGGAGCAACGCCGCGUGAGUGAUGAAGGCUUUCGGGUCGUAAAACUCUGUUGUUAGGGAAGAACAAGUGCUAGUUGAAUAAGCUGGCACCUUGACGGUACCUAACCAGAAAGCCACGGCUAACUACGUGCCAGCCGCCGCGGUAA
rnacentral:rRNA from 1 species